rnacentral:rRNA from 1 species
GAUGAACGCUGACAGAAUGCUUAACACAUGCAAGUCGAUGGGGAAGUGGUGCUUGUUCCAUGGCAACCAUGGCGGACGGGUGAGUAACGCGUAAGGGACUUACCUGCAUGACUGGGAUAACAGGGGGAAACUCCUGACAAGACCGGAUAAUGUCAUGGAGCUGCAUGGCUUUAUGAUGAAAGGAGACGCCUGUGGAGAGCCUUGCGUCCUAUUAGCUAGUUGGUGAGGUAAUGGCUCACCAAGGCGAAGAUAGGUAGCCGGCCUGAGAGGGUGGACGGCCACGAGGGGACUGAGAUACGGCAGUUACUCCUACGCGAGGCAGCAGUGGAGAAUAUUGGACAAUGGGGGCAACCCUGAUCCAGCAAUUCUGUGUGCACGAAGAAGGUUUUCGGAGUGUAAAGAGCUUUCAGCAGGGAAGAAGUAAGUGACGGUACCUGCAGAAGAAGCGACGGCUAAAUACGUG